GACGAACGCUGGCGGCGUGCUUAACACAUGCAAGUCGAACGGAAAGGCCCUGCUUUUGUGGGGUGCUCGAGUGGCGAACGGGUGAGUAACACGUGAGUAACCUGCCCUUGACUUUGGGAUAACUUCAGGAAACUGGGGCUAAUACCGGAUAGGAGCUCCUGCUGCAUGGUGGGGGUUGGAAAGUUUCGGCGGUUGGGGAUGGACUCGCGGCUUAUCAGCUUGUUGGUGGGGUAGUGGCUUACCAAGGCUUUGACGGGUAGCCGGCCUGAGAGGGUGACCGGCCACAUUGGGACGGAGAUACGGCCAAGACUCCUACGGGAGGCAGCAGUGGGGAAUAUUGCACAAUGGGCGGAAGCCUGAUGCAGCAACGCCGCGUGCGGGAUGACGGCCUUCGGGUUGUAAACCGCUUUCGCCUGUGACGAAGCGUGAGUGACGGUAAUGGGUAAAGAAGCACCGGCUAACUACG
rnacentral:rRNA from 1 species